CCUACGGGAGGCAGCAGUGAGGAAUAUUGGUCAAUGGGCGCGAGCCUGAACCAGCCAAGUCGCGUGAGGGAAGACGGUUCUAUGGAUUGUAAACCUCUUUUGUCGGGGAGCAAAAGACGCCACGCGUGGCGUUCCGAGAAUACCCGAAGAAAAAGCAUCGGCAAACUCCGUGCCUGCAGCCGCUGUAAUACGGAGGAUCCGAGCGUUAUCCGGAUUCAUUGGGUUUCAGGGGAGCGCAGGCGGAAGAUCAAGUCAGCGGUAAAAGUGAGAGGUUCAACCUCUUCGAGCCGUUGAAACUGGUUGUCUUGAGUGAGUGAGAAGUAUGCGGAAUGCGUGGUGUAGCGGUGAAAUGCAUAGAUAUCACGCAGAACUCCGAUUGCGAAGGCAGCAUACCGGCGCUCAACUGACGCUCAUGCACGAAAGUGUGGGUAUCGAACAGGAUUAGAUACCCGAGUAGUC
rnacentral:rRNA from 1 species